CCCAGCUCACCAUGAGUCCCUGGUCGUCUCACUACCGCCCGCGAAGCUAGCCUGGCAGGAGACCUCCCGCCUACUGCGCAGGGCUCUCCUGCCAGGAGCUUUGAAAACACCCCAGCACCUGGGCUAGAGGCCAGAGCUUCUUAAACUUACUGACCUCCUGCUGCGGACUGACUGACGGGGUCCAGUCAGAGUCAUCACCACAGCUGGCAGAAGCACAGGUACCUGGUGGGAGUCUGGCCUGGCCCCUGUGCUGUGCUAGGAGAGCGCCUCCCUCCUCCCCCCAGGGCCUCCCUCCCUCACCCACUGCCCAGACCACAGCGGGGCUCUGGGGCCACGUCCUGACCUUGGGCACCACAGUCUUGCCCUUACUGGAGCACGGGAAGGACUGAUCACUCCCAGACUGAGUCUAAGAAAACAAGCUGAAGCCAAGCCUGGCUCAGCUUGCGUUCAACUCCUGGCUCUGUCAUUUACCUGCGCCAGCAACUUAACCUUUCAGCGUCUGCUUUUUUCACCUGUGGAGCGGUUCCAGGCACCUGAGAGCCCAGAGAAGAGACCCCACUCUCCCACCACGCUGAAUUAUGGAACCGCAGAAGCCCCAGCUGGAGCAGUGGGUAAAGCCUUGGGCUCCCAAGCAUGAGGCCCCAGAUUGAUGCUGGGCAUCACAUGUACCAGAGCGAUUCUCUCUCUCUCUUAGCCAUUCUCAGUGGAAAGUAAAUAAAUCUUCUU